UGUAUGGUUAAGUGACUAAGCGUACACGGUGGAUGCCUGGGCAGUCAGAGGCGAUGAAGGACGUACUAACUUGCGAUAAGCGCAGAUAAGGCAGUAAGAGCCGUUUGAGUCUGCGAUUUCCGAAUGGGGAAACCCAACUGCAUAAGCAGUUACUGUUAACUGAAUACAUAGGUUAACAGAGCAAACCGGGGGAACUGAAACAUCUAAGUACCCCGAGGAGAAGAAAUCAACCGAGAUUCCGGUAGUAGCGGCGAGCGAACCUGGAUUAGCCCUUAAGCACUCGGUGAAGUAGGUGAACAAGCUGGAAAGCUUGGCGAUACAGGGUGAUAGCCCCGUAACCGACGCUUCAUCGAGCGUGAAAUCGAGUAGGGCGGGACACGUGAUAUCCUGUCUGAAUAUGGGGGGACCAUCCUCCAAGGCUAAAUACUCCUGACUGACCGAUAGUGAACCAGUACCGUGAGGGAAAGGCGAAAAGAACCCCUGUGAGGGGAGUGAAAUAGAACCUGAAACCGUGUACGUACAAGCAGUAGGAGCACCUUCGUGGUGUGACUGCGUACCUUUUGUAUAAUGGGUCAGCGACUUAUAUUCAGUGGCAAGGUUAACCGUAUAGGGGAGCCGUAGCGAAAGCGAGUCUUAACUGGGCGCUCAGUCUCUGGAUAUAGACCCGAAACCGGGUGAUCUAGCCAUGGGCAGGUUGAAGGUUGAGUAACAUCAACUGGAGGACCGAACCGACUAAUGUUGAAAAAUUAGCGGAUGACUUGUGGCUAGGGGUGAAAGGCCAAUCAAACUCGGAGAUAGCUGGUUCUCCCCGAAAGCUAUUUAGGUAGCGCCUCGGACGAAUACUACUGGGGGUAGAGCACUGUUAAGGCUAGGGGGUCAUCCCGACUUACCAACCCUUUGCAAACUCCGAAUACCAGUAAGUACUAU
rnacentral:rRNA from 1 species